AAUGAACGUUGGCGGCGUGGAUUAGGCAUGCAAGUCGAGCGCGAACCCCGCAAGGGGUGAAAGCGGCGAAAGGGAGAGUAACGCGUGGGUAUUUACCCUCGGGACUGGGAUAGCUGCGGGAAACUGCAGGUAAUACCAGAUAACGUCCCCGGACCAAAGGUGUGAUUCCGCCUGAGGAUAAGCCCGCGUCCUAUUAGCUAGUUGGUGAGGUAAUGGCUCACAAAGGCAAUGAUGGGUACUGGGUGUGAGAGCACGACCCAGCUCACUGGGACUGAGACACUGCCCAGACACCUACGGGUGGCUGCAGUCGAGAAUCUUCGGCAAUGGGCGCAAGCCUGACCGAGCGACGCCGCGUGUGGGAUGAAGGCCUUCGGGUUGUAAACCGCUGUCAGAGGGGAGGAAUGGGCGGAGGGUAAUCUCUUCGUUUUGACCUAUCCUCAGAGGAAGUACGGGCUAAGUUCGUGCCAGCAGCCGCAGUAA
rnacentral:rRNA from 1 species